UACUGCAGCGCCCUCCGGUGGCCAUCGGGUGAAACGACAACAGCGUAAUGUACUGUGGAGUAGAGCCAGUGACCGAGGUGACGCUGUGUCAUUAAUGUUUAACCCCAAGGUACCGGAGUCACCGGACAUAUGAAAAGUCAUGUGAGAAACUGCACUUUACACUAUACUGAACUGAAGAAAGACAACGUUCACAUCCGACAACGGGGGAGAUGGACAUGAAACAUCUAACUUGUUAAUUUAAUUUAAGACGGUUUGUUGUAUAAGGAGAUAUACUGAGAACAAACUACACAAGUGGUGGGAAUGGGAAGAAUUCUGGGGUCUCUGCUGCCAGCGGCUCUGCUGAUUGGCUCAGCCCUCUGUAUGGGCGUGGUCAGUCUAACCCUAAGCCACACCUCUAGGGUCAGAGUUCACAAAGGGAGGAGCCUCACAUUGACCUGCAUGAACACAACACAUGCAGGAGUGGUCCAGUACUGGCACACCCCUUUCGGUCGGGUCCAGAACAGCAGUCUUCAUGCCAACCAGAAGGAUGUGGUUGCUAUGCAACGAGAUGGUAGCCUGCGGAUCCACAUUGCUUCUCCUCACCACAGCGGGCUGUACUACUGCCUCCUACUGGCCGGAGGACAAACUACACUCACACCCUACCUGCUGACUGCCAGCAGUCCACAGGACCAUGCGGUCGAACACAGGCGGGCAGUCAGGAGUAUUCUGGGUGGUCAUAGAGAGGAGAGGGAUGUUGCCGUGGUUUCUGACGGUGUGUUUGCGGCAGCGGUGACGGCAUCAGUAGUGGUGACGUUCCUGGUGGGGUUCAGCUCUGGAGCUUUGAGCAGGACACUACUGGACAGGUGUGUGAAUUGGGUGCGUUCGCUAGGACAGGAACGUCGUAACCAUGGUGAAACAGUCAGCGUGGCAUUCCGGAAGGAUGUGGAACAAGAGGAUGAGGAUUACUCAGCCUCGACGACAAGCGUUACCAUGGAGAAUGUAAGCCCAUCUCCACCAGCCAAACCUCAGAGAAGCUUCAGGGGCAAACUUCAUGAAGAGCCUGCUUACCUGGAGGGCUGCCACCAGGGGAGAGGAGAGGAAGGGAGGGAGAGGGGAGGAGAAGAGGGGAGGGAGGUGGGAGACAGCACAGAUGGAAAAGAGAAGAGCAGGAGAGAGGGGGAGGAAGAAAGGAGUGACAGUGAGGAAGGGAGAGAGGGAAAGGAGGGGAGGAAUGAAAGUGACAGGGAGGAAGGAAGAAGAGAGAGUGAGGAAGGGAGAGAGGGAAAGGAGGGGAGGACAGAGUUUAAGGAGAGGACAGAGAGUGAGGGAGAGGUUGAAGAGGGAGGAUUUAGAGGUGAUAGUAGCAGUGAUUCAGAAGAAGGGUCUGUUGGGGUGAGAGAGGGGGGAGUGGAGAGGCAGGGGGAGGGAACAGCGGGAGAAGAGAGGUGUUCUCCUCCCCGGCCCGCCAGACGGAGCCGUGUGAUUCGUCUGUACCAGUACGAUGAGGAGGGGCAUCGCUAUAGUCACCUGCCAAACCCCGCCCCCAUGGAACAUACUUCCCCCGCCCCCCGGGCCAAGCAGCGCUCGCUGUCCCUCACCAGGCUCAACACCAUCAUGGCUGCUGCCACCGCCAGCCCCCUGGACCCACAGAACCCCCCGGGCCGAGACUCAGACCCCCAGGACUCAGACCCUGACCAUGAGGAGAGGGACACAGCCAGUCCAGCCAGCCCAUCCCAGGGCCAGGAGAGACCAGUCUUUCAACUGGAGAUAUGA
rnacentral:lncRNA from 8 species